CUAAAAAAAUUAAAUGUAAUAACAAACGUAUUUAAAUUCCGAAGAAGAAAACUUUAUUGUUAUACCAAGUGUGGAAGAUUUUCUGUGUAUGGAUCAUUUAAUUUUUGUAAAUGUCACGGAUGGCUGAAUGCCAAAUUUAUUUAAGUUUAAAUAUCUAUGUUUCUUUGCUUCAUUGAGUUUCUUUACGUGGCAAUCUCAGUUUAUUCUUGGCGCAUAAUUUUGAUUUCAUUUAAGUAAAGGAUUGGCACUAGAGGUCAGAGGUUACAUUCUCUACGUGAUUGCCCACGAUUGUUUGUACACGAUUGUUUGUAUUAUUAUUUGCAAUCUUUAAACGCCGAAAAUUCAGUUACCGCAUGAAUUGCAACCAAACGAAGGUGGUUAAAAUAAAAAGCGUGUCAAACUGAAGUGCGUAAGGAGUUCCGAGUCUUUUUGGCAAAAGAACGUUUGCAGCCGCAACAGUAAACAUAAAAAAGUAAACAAGAUGCUGCAAGACAUCGUUGUUUCUUCAUAGAUGCCACAAUAUUCCAAUCACCAUCAACUUGGUUUAAAUUCAAACAUUCGACAGACUUGGAUCCACGACCACCAGCCGUAUAAACAUGGUUGUUUAUCUUCACACUGGUUGAACCCCACCUUUCAUACAAGGUUGA